GACGAAGCAAGACAUCUAAAGAUUUUUGAACACCUUGGAAAAAUGAAGAAUGAAGAAUGGUGUGAAUUAUAUAAUGAUGAGCUAUAUGAUGUUGUGCAUUGUCGAGUCUAUACUAAGUCCAUCCAUUCAUAGUCUUGUAAUCUCGAUGAUGUGAAUCACCAAUGUUGGCAUUCCCAAUAUUUGUGGAGAUUUGUUAGGUCUAUGUUGACCUAACACAUUUAGUAUUGAUAAUGGUGGUUAAAAAUUUAAUAUAAUUCUUAUAAACAAUGAAAUUAUUUUUUCCAGAGCGCAAAUGUAUAUGCAAAACAUAGUCUUUAUACCCAAUGAAUUGAAUUUUUCAAUGAAUCUGGCUGUAAUGUAUCCCCGAGUGUUAUAUAUGGUGUUUGGAUGUUUUUGAGAUACUAAACUAAUUAACACAUAAAAUGUAAAGUAAAGUAAAACAAUAAAGGGAUAAAUGCAUAAAAAGCUUGUUUGAUUUAUUUUGUGGCAAAUUUUAUGGUACAUUCAACUUUUUAAGAGCACCGGUACAUCAAAUCAUUAAAUUAAUAAUAAAAUUAGUUUAAUUUUUGAAGAAAAAAUAAUUAUUUUUUAUCAUUGAUAAUUAUAAUAAUUAAAUCUUAUUUACCAAAAGUAUCGAUGAAAUAAAAUUUAUUUUUUUUGAAUUUUUACUACUCAUAAUAAAGAAUAUUGAUUAUUUUUUAUAAGAAAAUGUUAAAAAUUUAAUAUAAUUCUUAUAAACAAUGAAAUGACAUUUUUUUUCUCAUGAAAUUAACAAAGUUCAUUAUUUGUAAGCAAACACUAAUUCUAUUGACCAAUGUGGCGUAAUGAGUUUAGCCUUGCUCAGCUAUUCACACAGGUAACGUGUAAAUCUUUCCAUUGUUAGAUUACGUGGCAGCCCACGUUUGGAUUAAUCUUCCCAAUUGCACGACAUUUAUCUUUUCCUUUAUCCACGUGUGUGAAGCUGCCUCAUAAAGUGGUUUCAUGCUCUUAGCUUCUUCAAUUAAUUGUGCUAUAAACAUAGAGCAUGAGUAAAAUAUCCAUUUGUCAAAUUCCCAUGAAUUUUGUCUGAUUAACACUCUCAAACGACUGUCGCAGACCUAAAUAUACUUGAUAAUGAUUCGACUAACUCGUAUUCGACUAUCUUUGCACUUGUCUAAACCUUCAAUUGGCUUAGAUGAGUAGUCUGCCUGACCCUAAACAGACCACAACCGCAUCUGCCACUUAAAACCAUUUGUGUUGAUAAUUUCCAAACAUCAAUACGUACCCCAUCUUCCAAUCUAUAUAUGAUAUGAUAUAUUCAUUUUUUCGGGCAUAUUGGAGUGCACUCGUUCAUUAAUACACAUCCUUUUAAGUUUGUAUUCAGGGGUGGCCCUGAGGGCGGGCGGGAGGGGUGGCAGUCCAGGGCACCAAUUAUUUUGGGAAAGUAAAAUUAUUAUUUUUACUUAGUAGUUAUUACAAUAUAGAUAUAUUUCUUUUUAAUUUGUUUUGAUUAAUUCUAUUGAAAAUAUCUUUUUAGAAAACUUUGAUUAUAAAUGAAUCUUGUGCAACAAAAUAUACAAGAAAAAUAUUAGAAUAAUUAAAAUAGGGGUCUUGUUAACCAGUGCCCCCGGGGCGGGGGCACUGGUUAAGGAAUCUAUAAAUAAAAUUUUUGUCUUCGAAAUAUAAACUGUCACUUUUUAUCAAGUAAUAAUUACAUUACUUUUUAAUAAAAACUUACUUCAUUUGGUUCUUAACCAAUGCUCCGUAUGUACUGGUUAACAUUCUCCUUAAAAUAAUACAAUUUUUUCCUUUCGUCUAGGGCACCAAAAAUCUUAGGACCAACCCUCUUUGUAUUUUACCGUAAGAAAAAAGAUUAUAUGUCAUUUUAUAAACCUAAAUAAAAUAUUAUAAGCAUGAUCUCGUACUCUAUAUGGUUUUUGCUGGCCUCACGGAGGCAUAGAUUCUUUAAAGACUAGGGCACGCUAUCAAUUAAUAAAUGAUUCGAUUAUUUGUCUUCUUUCUGCCUCUCUGAGUUACUCUCGAGUCUAAAUGUAUAAACUAAAUAAUGAAUGUGACAUGAUGACAAAAUAAAAUCCUUUGCCUUUUUUUUUCCCUAUUAUGGCAAAUCAACUUAACAAAUCAGAUACAAAAUACUGAAACAGAAUGUGAUUGGUUUAAUUAGACUAUUUUCAAGAAAAGAAGAAAAGUGUGAAAGAAAAUUAAGAAAUUCUAUGAAAAUGCUUGGCAUGAGAGAACAAAGAAAUGGUUUUUCUAGAAAGUCAUACCAUGUCUUUAAGCUUGCCAAAGUUCUUAUCCUAAACAUUCACAAUUCAGCAAUCAAUUUUGUGACAAAAUUAUUUCUGUCUCUGUGCAACCAAAUUUUGUUAUGAGACACUAUAUCUAUCGUUAAAUGAGGUUGUGACCGGUUUACUAAAUAUCACUAAACAAGCUAAUGUUAACGAUUGAUUUGACAUUUUGAUCUCUAAAUCGGUCAUUAUAAUAAAGAAUGACAAUCAUAAUUGGCAUAACCUUUUUACUUUUAACAAAAAUUUGUUAAAUUAACGUAAUGCAUGCUAUGUUGGAAAAGGAGAAGGUUGUAGUGAUAACUUUGUGAGAAACUUAGGAGGAGAUAAUAUUUGAGAGAAGAACUAUUUUAUUACUUAGAGAGGAUAUUUUGAUUCUUGUUUGCUUGCUUGCUUUACAAAUGAGAAGCUCUCCUCCUUUUAUAGGAUCCAAGG
rnacentral:lncRNA from 1 species